GACGAACGCUGGCGGCGUGCUUAACACAUGCAAGUCGAACGGAAAGGCCUCUUUCGGGGGGUACUCGAGUGGCGAACGGGUGAGUAACACGUGAGUAACCUGCCCUUGACUUUGGGAUAACUUCAGGAAACUGGGGCUAAUACCGGAUAGGAGCUCCUGCUGCAUGGUGGGGGUUGGAAAGUUUCGGCGGUUGGGGAUGGACUCGCGGCUUAUCAGCUUGUUGGUGGGGUAGUGGCUUACCAAGGCUUUGACGGGUAGCCGGCCUGGGAGGGUGACCGGCAACAUUGGGACUGAGAUACGGCCCAGACUCCUACGGGAGGCAGCAGUGGGGAAUAUUGCACAAUGGGUGGAAGCCUGAUGCAGCAACGCCGUGUGCGGGAUGACGGCCUUCGGGUUGUAAACCGCUUUCGCUCAUGACGAAGCUUUGUGUGACGGUAGUGGGUAAAGAAGCACCGGCUAACUACGUG
rnacentral:rRNA from 1 species